GACGCCAGAAGAUCAGUUUCUUAAGCGUACAUGGUUCUUGCCUUUUACCAGAACCAUCCGGGAACUGUCUUUGCUAAUGGUGUUUUUUUUCAUUUUUUGGAACUCUCCCAUGUGCUAAAUC
rnacentral:snRNA from 20 species